UAGGGAAUCUUCCGCAAUGGACGCAAGUCUGACGGAGCAACGCCGCGUGAGUGAAGAAGGAUUUCGGUUCGUAAAACUCUGUUGUUAGAGAAGAACAGCGCAUAGAGUAACUGUUAUGCGUGUGACGGUAUCUAACCAGAAAGCCACGGCUAACUACGUGCCAGCAGCCGCGGUAAUACGUAGGUGGCAAGCGUUGUCCGGAUUUAUUGGGCGUAAAGCGAGCGCAGGCGGUCAAUUAAGUCUGAUGUGAAAGCCCCCGGCUCAACCGGGGAGGGUCAUUGGAAACUGGUUGACUUGAGUGCAGAAGAGGAGAGUGGAAUUCCAUGUGUAGCGGUGAAAUGCGUAGAUAUAUGGAGGAACACCAGUGGCGAAGGCGACUCUCUGGUCUGUAACUGACGCAGAGGUUCGAAAGCGUGGGUAGCAAACAGG
rnacentral:rRNA from 1 species